GUGUCAUCAUCCUUAUUCUCUUAUCUGAAGUGAGCAGCUUGAGAUCAAAGGCUAGGCAAAUACGACCAUCUCAUUCAAUAGUUAAUUGAUGUCUCAUUGAAAGUAUGGUCUGUGCUACUCAACGCCGGGAAGCUGCAUUUUCAUUUCUAGACAUAGUAAGUGGUCAUGUCAUGUAGAUCGAGUGCGGAUCCACCGCAUCUCCCUUAAAG